AGGAUUUAAGUUAAACUAAACUAUCAACCUUCAAAGUUGGAAUUACUAGCCUUGUAAGCCUUAG
rnacentral:tRNA from 1 species